UACGUAGGGGGCAAGCGUUGUCCGGAAUUAUUGGGCGUAAAGCGCGCGCAGGCGGUCUUUUAAGUCAGGUGUUUAAUCCCAGGGCUCAACCCUGGUUCGCACCUGAAACUGGGAGGCUUGAGUGCAGAAGAGGAGAGUGGAAUUCCACGUGUAGCGGUGAAAUGCGUAGAUAUGUGGAGGAACACCAGUGGCGAAGGCGACUCUCUGGUCUGUAACUGACGCUGAGGCGCGAAAGCGUGGGUAGCAAACAGG
rnacentral:rRNA from 1 species